GCGAGCAAAAAAAAAAAAAAAAGGAGACAGAGGCUCGCCGCAGUGCGAGGCAGUAAAAAAAGGCAGAAAAGAGGAGAGGUAAUCUCUGGGUUUGAAUAUGGCGCAGGAGGUCGACAGGGAGAAAUAUGAUCCAAAGUGGGGCAUCGGGCCAUGGAUUGCGCUCAGUGAGCAAAUAGAUGAAGUAAUAACUUAUCUGGGGGAACAUGACGAAUUCCAAACGGACGGGGACGGACAAAAAAUACAAAAUAAAUUAAAGGGUCUGGUUGAAAUGGGUGGAGGCGAUUUGCUAAGCAGACAGCCCCUGGGGAAACAUUUGUUGCAGGGAAUCAACAAUUCUAAAAAACAUUUGAUAGACACUAUGCAAAAAGAAGGAGAAGCAGGAGUUUUCACUAAAAGAAGCUGUAAAACAAACGAGCAGAAUGCUGAGAGAGAACUCAGGCAGAGGGAAGAACUUUUGGUUUUCUGGCAGGGACUUUCACAUGCAUUUGAACACAAAAAACAAAAAGUUGCCACUAGCUCUGAACACACAAACAUAAGUACAGACAAUUCACUUCCUCCACCAUAUAGUGGAGACGAAACUCGGCCUUCCCAGGGCAUUUAUCCCAUAGUUAACAUUACACAGGGAAUCUUAGCAGUCGAGGGGGAGACAGCUACCCCACAAAACGCUCCCGAAGUCCACACUGGGACUGAUACCCCGAACUGGACUAUAUUAGAUCAGACCCCGUCCACACCAAAUCCCAUGGCUUGGUCUCAGUUAAAUGACACCUUUGUCAGAUCUGCUCAGAGGUUGCAGAACCUGUGUGACAGAGCAGAACAGAUGGAGAGAGGAGAGAUAAAAUCUAAUUCAGCCAAAAACGUUCAAAUUAAAAUGGAUGCAAAUGGAACGUGGGUUUCAGAGGAGAACCUUACAGAUAAAACUGAUGAACUGAGAGAGGUCUAUCACAUCUCGUGCCCUCUAGAGAGCAUGCGUGGCUUAGGCCUUCACACAGCAGAAGGACAGCACGCCCUGGUUGGGAGCAACACAGGGGCUUAUCCUCUUUUGAAAAACAGUACUGGGGGUCAGAAAUAUGUUCCUUUUCCUCUAGGUGACAGAGAGGCCAUAGUAGAUAAACUGCCCAGUAUUACAGCUGGUGGGAGUCUUUGGUUGGCAGAGUUAGACCAGCUGACCUCUGGAAUGACUCUAGCGCUGGGAGAUUUCAGAGCAAUAAUGAGCAGAGCUAUGUCUGGCAUGGUUAUGAGAGACAUAGAGCACGCAGCAGGGACCCAAAAAUGUAAGUAAUUCUACUCCAGCACUUCAAUUCAUCACACCUUUGGCACGGGAAAUAAAAAGGCAGUUUCCACUGGCCACAAUCACUCCCAUCACCAGGUUUGAAUGGGAUUACAGCAUGGAUCCUAAAGAAUACAUAAAUAAAGCUGCAGAAACCUGGCUUGGACAAACUACAAUUAAUCCAAAAGGCCCACACUCAAACUUAACUGAAAUGUUUAGAGAGGCAAUCUUGAAAGGUGUUCCUGAACAGGUUGUACAAUCUAUAAGAAACAACCCAGAUUUGACAGGGUGCGAGCACGUUAGAUGGGAGAGACAUUUGCUUCAUCACUUAAAUAAGGGCACAAGAUGAGUUCAAGAAAAAGCAGUCUGACACUAAGGAUUUAGAAAUUCAGCUGUUGAAGCUCCAAUUGCAGGAAGCAAAACAAAAAUUGAAUAAAAAAAAAAAAAACGGAUAAAAAGGAACAUGUGAUGGUUGUGGCUGCAGGUGCCGGAACCCCCACACAGAAUGCAACUUCCUGGCAAAACACUAAUCAGAUUGGGGGAGGACUGGUUCCUCUUCCUGUUUUUUCUGUUUUAUAUCCUCAAAACAGGUACAGAGCGUUUCCUCGUGGGCGGGGAAGGCGUUUGGCCGGUCACGAGGGCGGUGCUCCGUGGAGGGGUCGUGGGGCGCGAACCGGGGGACCACAGGAGGACAUAUGCUACCGAUGUGGAUGUGUUGGACACUGGGCAAAACAUUGCUGGGCCAUACCAAAUCACGGGGAACCAGGUAUGAUCCCCCACAAUCCCAAUGUUAUACCUGGACAGUCUUUUCAGGGGAAUAACGAGCCCACACAGAACAUCUAGUGACACGCCCCUGGAGACCCACAGCCCAGCAUGGGAACUGCAGACCCCAUGCUGUCAGCAACACUGGAGGGGAGAGAAACACACUUCCUGGUGGACACAGGUGCUUCACACAGCACAUUGAACUUUGUUUCUCCCCUCAGUUUGACGUCACAAACUGUAUCUUUAACUGGGUUCUCAAGGACAGAACAAAGUCUGCCUUUCACUAAGCCUCUGACCUUCACACUGGGCAAUCAGCACCUGCAACAUUCUUUUGUCAGCUCUCCCACAACUCCCGUCAAUUUGCUAGGAAGAGACUUACUGAUAAAACUGGGAGCAACAAUUAUGUGCUCUGUGAAUGGAUUAAUUGUUUCAUUUCCCGAUGGCACGUCCCUCCCUUGUGCAAACUUUCACACGGAUGGACAAUUUCUCAUCCAGCCAGUUGUUUCUGAGUAUGCAGACAUAUAUUGGGGGCCUUUUAACGAACUUACCCUCCAGCCGUCUAAUGUCAACGUUUGUGGACUGGAAACCUUGGCUCCUGUGUCUGCGCUCCUACGUCUCUCCUCCGGAUCCCCCCACGUGACCCUGUUCUACGACAGAGACGUCUCUGAAUGGUACCAGGAACCUUUCCUUUCCACUUUGGAGGAAACAACCUGGGAGGUAAAAAUCUCAGAUAUUCAUGUAGCUCCAGUUGGUGUAGCUGCUGCUGUCUCUUUCACAGAAACGCAGUCAGAAUGUUAUCAAAUAUCUGAUGAAGCUGUGCCUCACAUCUCUCUCUGUUUGCACCCUGAGCACCAAGCAAAAGAAUUGGGCCCAAUGAUGAAACGCUCCCUGGCAGCCACAGAUUGGAUUGCGACAGCAGUGCCAGGUGGACUCUGAGAGACCCCUCUGGAUUCCUCAGUAUCCACACAAACCCGCAGCUGAACAGGGCAUCGCAGAGACAAUAACAGGACUGAUUGAGGCUGGAGUGCUGGAACCCUCAAAGUCUGACUGGAACACACCCAUUUUGCCAGUGGAGAAAAAAGGUACUGGCAAAUACAGAAUGGCUCAUGACCUGAGAGCAGUAAAUGCAGUUCUGAAAACAAAAAUUGUGCCAGUUCCUAAUCCAUAUGUCUCCAUUGCUGCUUUGACUCCUAGCCAGCAGUGGUAUAGCUGUAUUGAUUUGGCAAAUGCAUUUUUCUGUGUCCCACUAGCUGAAAGCUGCAGGGACUACUUUUCAUUCACUUUCAGGGGAGAACAGUGGCGUUACACCAGGCUGCCACAAGGUUUUGCCCUGUCUCCAGGGCUGUUUAACCAGGUUUUGAAAGAUGUUUUGCAGGAUUGCCCCCUUCCACGACACACGACCCUAAUUCAGUAUGUAGAUGACCUUUUGCUGGCCGCACCAACCGCGGAGCUUUGCGUUAAAGCCACCUCCCUGGUUCUGGCUCACCUCCAUCAAAAAGGUUUUAAGGUCAGUAAAAACCAAUUACAGAUUGCACGAAAAUAGGUUUCAUUUCUGGGCAGAAUAAUUUCAGCAGGAACAACGGGGAUCUCUCCCUCACACAAGCAGUCCAUUUUGCAACAUCCGAAACCCACCAGAGUCAAAGACAUGCUCUCCUUUCUGGGUUUAACUGGCUACAGCAGAAGCUACAUUCCGUCUUACACAGAUCUGACCCAGCCGCUUCGAGCCUUGGUUAAUGAACAAGGCAUGAGAAUUCUGAAUAAUCUCCUCUUUUGGACAAAUGAGGCGGAACAAGCUUUUAUCUUAUUAAAGCAAAACAUGGCAUUGGCAGCGGAACUCUCCCUCCCAGAUUACACCUUGCCGUUUUUUCUUGAUGUUUCUGUAACAAAAAUGGCUGUUAACGGAGUUUUGUUCCAGAAAAAAGGGGGAGAGAGAAAAGUACUGAUGUACUUAUCUGUAAUGAUGGACAAUAUGGAAAAAAGGCAUCCCCCAUGUACGCAACAUGCAGCUGGGAUAGCCAAACUCAUACAAAAAACCGCACAUAUUGUCAUGGGACAUACACUGCAAGUGUCAACUACACACAGCGUGGUGGCAUAUGUAAACUCACAGAGUUUCACCAUGACGGCGUUGAGACAACAAAGGCUUUCCAAAGUUCUGGAAGCUCCAAACAUUUCAUUCACUCAUGAAGGCAUAAAUAUGGCAGACUGUUUUGCAGACGGAGAACCACACGAGUGUGCAGAGUUGGUGGCAAAGUCAGAAAAGGUAAGACCAGACCUGGAAGCAACUCCCUUGAUUGGACCAGAGGUGAGACAGUUCUUCACAGAUGGUUGUUGUUACAGACACCAAACACAAGAACUAAGAGCUGGUUUUGCAGUAGUAGAAAGCACAAAAGCAGGCUUUCUCACAAGAAAAGCAGAAAGACUGGAAGGAACAGCGUCUGCGCAGAGGGCAGAAAUAAAAGCAGUGAUCGAAGCGUUAAAGCUUGCCCAAGGAUCACAGGUAAAUGUGUACACAGAUUCCGCUUAUGUUGCAGGAACAGUGCAUUUGGAACUUUGCCAGUGGAUGAGGGGCGGAUUUCUGACCACCAGCAGCCGAACCAUAAAACAUGAGGCGGAGGUAAAAAAAAAAAAAAACUUGCGGAAGCAUUGCUAUUGCCAAAAACAGUAGCUGUAAUCAAAUGCAAAGGUCAUGACUUAUCAGACACAAUGAUUGCAAAAGGUAAUCAAGCAGCGGACAGAGCAGCUAAAGUAGCUGCGGGGUACACCAAUUUGGCCAUGGUGUGUUCCUCGGAGGAGGAAUUACAUGACAAACUCACACUGGAGGAGGUGGUAAGAUGCCAAAAGGGGGUGCCACUUGAAGAGAAAAACAUGUGAAAACACAGAGGGGCCACUGAAACAAAUGGAUGCUGGAGGGGCCCAGACGGCAGGUUAAUUCUGCCCCCUGGGAAAAAACAGGAGCUGUUUGAGGAAGCUCAUGGGGUUGGACAUGUGGGAACUAAACAGAUGAUGUAUAAUCUUAAAGACUGGUGGCAACCCCAAAUGAUCAACAUGGUGAAACAGUUUGUAAAUAAUUGUGAAAUGUGUGGACAGGUUAACCCUAAGAAAACUUUGAAGCCACAUCAGGGACAGUUUCCUCCACUCACAGGUCCAGGGAAAGAGGUUGUGUUGGAUUUCACUGACAUAAUAAACAUGGUGCAAGGCAAAAAAUAUUUGUUGGUUUGUGUUGAUGCUUUCACAGGAUGGCCUGAAGCGUGGCCAGCAGCGAGAGAAGACAGUAAAACGGUCAUAAAAUGUCUGAUCAACCAUUACAUCCCCAGGCACGGUUUUCCAGAAAAAAAAAAAA